UACGUAGGGUGCGAGCGUUAAUCGGAAUCACUGGGCGUAAAGGGCGCGUAGGUGGCGGCCCAAGUCCAUGGUGAAAGCUCGAUGCUCAACAUCGAGUCGGCCACGGAUACUGGGUUGCUCGAGCACUGUAGGGGCAGAUGGAAUUCCGGGUGUAGCGGUGGAAUGCGUAGAGAUCCGGAAGAACACCAGUGGCGAAGGCGGGUCUCUGGACAGUUCCUGACACUGAGGCACGAAGGCCAGGGGAGCAAACGGG
rnacentral:rRNA from 1 species